UACGGAGGGUGCAAGCGUUAUCCGGAUUCACUGGGUUUAAAGGGUGCGUAGGCGGACAGGUAAGUCAGUGGUGAAAAUCUCCCGAGCUUAACUCGGAAACUGCCUUUGAUACUCUCUGUCUUGAAUAUGGUGGAGGUAAGCGGAAUAUGUCAUGUAGCGGUGAAAUGCUUAGAGAUGACAUAGAACACCUAUUGCGAAGGCAGCUUACUACGCCUAUAUUGACGCUGAGGCACGAAAGCGUGGGGAUCAAACAGG
rnacentral:rRNA from 1 species